ACGAACGCUUGCGGCGGUGGCCUAAGAAAUGCAAGUCGAGCGGAGAGUAGCAAUACUCUUAGCGGCGAACGGUCGCGUAACACGUAAGCAACCUCCGCCGAAAAGACCGGGACAACAUCUCGAAAGGGGUGCUAAUACCGGUAUGUGGCCAUCGAUAGCAUCUAUUGAUGAUUAACCGAGCAAUCGGCUUUUCGAGGGGCUUGCGGCCUAUCAGCUAGUUGGUGGGGUAACGGCCUACCAAGGCGACGACGAGUAGCUGGUCUGAGAGGACGGCCAGCCGGACUGGGACUGAGAUACGGCCCAGACUCCUACGGGGGGCAGCAAUUAGGAAUCUUGCGCAAUGGGCGAAAGCCUGACGCAGCGACGCCGCGUGGAGGAGGAAGGCCUUCGGGUUGUAAACUCCUUUGGGUGGGAAGAACAAAAUGACGGUACCACCCGAAUAAGCUCCGGCUAACUCCGUGCCAGCAGCCGCGGUAAUACGGAGGGAGCGAGCGUUGUCCGAAGUUACUGGGCGUAAAGCGCGCGUAGGCGGGGGAUUAAGUGUGAAGUGAAAGGCUGGGGCUCAACCCCAUGCAGUGCUUCUCAUACUGGUCCUCUUGAGGGCGGUAGAGAGAAGUGGAAUGGCUGGUGUAGCGGUGAAAUGCGUAGAUAUCAGUCGGAACACCGGUGGCGAAGGCGGCUUCUUGGGCCGUUUCUGACGCUGAGGCGCGAAAGCCAGGGGAGCGAACGGGAUUAGAUACCCCGGUAGUCCUGGCCUUAAACGAUGGAUACUAGGUGUUGGGGGUAUCGACCCCUCCAGUGCCGCAGCUAACGCACUAAGUAUCCCGCCUGGGGAGUACGGCCGCAAGGUUGAAACUCAAAGGAAUUGACGGGGGCCCGCACAAGCGGUGGAGCAUGUUGUUUAAUACGUCACUAACCGUAGAACCUUACCAGGGCUUGACAUCUGCGGACCGCCGGUGAAAGCCGGUUUUCCCCGCAAGGGGACUGCAAGACAGGUGUGCAUGGCUGUCGUCAGCUCGUGUCGUGAGAUGUUGGGUUAAGUCCCGCAACGAGCGCAACCCUUGUCCCUGUGUUGCUACCGGGUCAUGCCGGGCACUCUCAGGAGACUGCCUGGGUCAACUCGGAGGAAGGUGGGGAUGACGUCAAGUCAAGCAUGCCCCUUAUGUCCAGGGCUACAAACAUGCUACAAUGGCCGGUACAACGGGCUGCUACCCCGCGAGGGGACGCGAAUCCUGAAAGCCGGUCUCAGUUCGGAUUGGAGUCUGCAAACUCGACUCCAUGAAGUCGGAGUCGCUAGCAAUCCCGGAUCAGCCACGCCGGGGUGAAUACGUUCCCGGGCCUGUACACACCGCCCGUCACACCACGAAAGUCGGUAACACCCGAAGCCGGUGGCCCAACCCUUGUGGAGGGAGCCGUCGAAGGUGGGAUCGGCGAUUGGGGUG
rnacentral:rRNA from 1 species